rnacentral:rRNA from 1 species
GACGAACGCUGGCGGCGUGCUUAACACAUGCAAGUCGAACGGUAAGGCCCUUCGGGGUACACGAGUGGCGAACGGGUGAGUAACACGUGGGUGAUCUGCCCUGCACUUCGGGAUAAGCCUGGGAAACUGGGUCUAAUACCGGAUAGGACCACUGCCUGCAUGGGUGGUGGUGGAAAGCUUUUGCGGUGUGGGAUGGGCCCGCGGCCUAUCAGCUUGGUGGUGGGGUGAGUGCCUACCAAGGCGAAGACGGGUAGCCGGCCUGAGAGGGUGACCGGCAACACUGGGACUGAGAUACGGCCCAGACGCCUACGGGAGGCAGCAGUGGGGAAUAUUGCACAAUGGGCGCAAGCCUGAUGCAGCGACGCCGCGUGAGGGAUGACGGCCUUCGGGUUGUAAACCUCUUUCAGCACCGACGAAGCGCAAGUGACGGUAGGUGCAGAAGAAGGACCGGCCAACUACGUGCAGCAGCCGCCGUAA